AGGACGAACGCUUGCGGCGUGCCUAAGAAAUGCAAGUCGAGCGGGAGUAGCAAUACUCUAGCGGCGAACGGUCGCGUAACACGUAGCCAACCUGCCCAGAAGACCGGGACAACACUCCGAAAGGGGUGCUAAUACCGGAUGUGCCCAUUUUGCCACAUGGCUUAAUGAGUAAAUCAUUUAUGGCUUCUGGAGGGGGCUGCGGCCUAUCAGCUAGAUGGUGGGGUAACGGCCUACCAUGGCGUCGACGGGUAGCUGGUCUGAGAGGAUGGUCAGCCGGACUGGGACUGAGAUACGGCCCAGACUCCUACGGGGGCAGCAAUUAGGAAUCUUGCGCAAUGGGGGCAACCCUGACGCAGCGACGCCGCGUGGAGGAUGACGGCCUUCGGGUUGUAACUCCUUUAUCGGGAAGAACAAAUGACGGUACCCGAUGAAUAAGCCCCGGCUAACUCCGUGCCAGCAGCCGC
rnacentral:rRNA from 1 species